CCACCCCCCUCCCCCCCCAACCGCGCAACAAUUACCCCUUUUAGGAUCGGCUAAUCCUGAAAUAUGGGCCUGUGACUAAUGGCGGAAUUUAGCAAGAAAUCAGCUCCAGUUUCACCGGCUUUAUUGACUCUAAUGCAGGAUGCAGAUACCUUCAGCUAUGAUGGAUGAGCGUGGGGAUACUGUCAGCCCCCCCCCUCCUCCUCCUCCUGCUCCUCCUCCUCCUCUUUCACUGUUGCCUUUGUGCAGGUGAUAAUGAAAAGUGUCAGAGAAGCAUGUAGCGGGCCCUUUUCACUGGCUCUCGCCAAAAGAAUGAGCCGCCAUGACAACAUUGACGUUGGAGUUUGUUGUUUCACAGGGCGAGGCGCUUCGCAGACGUCCCUCCUCCCUUAUUGUAUCGCGGCCGUCAAUAAACUGCAAUAUUGUGUCUCACUCUUGAGCGUGUGCCAGCCUGCUCCCACAUUCUGCUACAGGGGGGGGGGGGGCGGCGAUUGAGCAUAAAGCCACAAAAGCGGGGUCUUAGUGUACUUUGCUGCACAAACGAGUUAUCAAUCACGCUCUGCAUGCGAGGUGAUGGAUACGCGAGGCGCUUUUAUUUGACAGUGACAGAUAUGGUGCCGAUGAAUGAGUGCAGAUUGCCCGAUAAAUCAACCCCUCAAAUGUUUCAGACUCUGCUAAUCAUGGGCUUUUACUUUGAAGGGAACAAAGUCAAUAUUUGCGUUGUUGCACCUGCAGGGUUAAGAAAAUAAAGAGGGUUCGGGUGAAUACAAAGUUAUCCGACUAAAUCCUCGGGGAGUUUAGUUUGUGAGUGUCAUCAAAUUCCUGGAGACUGAGAUCAGAUCAGAAUGUCGUCGACUUCACUCGACCACUGAAGCGGAAUAAUCUCAAGUGGCAACAAAUGUGGAAUGAAAAUGAAAUUUGCGGCUCAAUCAUCCAUCAAAGUGAUGAUGCACUAGUAUCAGUUUGUGUGAAAAUAUGUGUGGAAACUAGAACUGGAGAAUAAUAUGAAUUUCAUUGUACAGAGUAACCUGUUAAACUGCACAUGCCCAUAAGUCAGGAAUCAUCAGGGACCAGGAAACAUUUAUUGCCAUAAUAUGUGAGACAUACAAGGGAUUUGACGUGGCGGUUGGUGCGUGACAGCAGACAGAACAACAACGGACGACAAGACAACAGUGCACGAGGAAUAAAAUAAAAUAUAAUGCUAUGGGUUAGUUUAAAAAUUAAAGUUUAAAAUGUUUAAAAAUAAAGUGCAAACAGCGGAGCAGAGGGAAGGGGCACAAACAGGUUUUGUCCGGGGUGAGAGGGGUCUACUGUAUAGAGGGGUCUAUGUAGGAGGUCUAUAUAGGGGUCUAUAUAGGGGGUCUAUAUAGUGGUCUAUGUAGGGGGUCUAUGUAGGGGUCUAUAUAGGGGUCUAUAUAGGGGGUCUAUAUAAGGGUCUACAUAGAGGUCUAUGUAGGAGAAAUAUCUUCAAUCUUGAAUUUAAUACGUAAUAAGUACAUUUUUGUUCUCAUUCCGAGGUGAUGAGAUCAACUUCACAGCAGCUGCUGUGAUAAUAUAAUUAUUAUGUACAUUACAGGUCAUUUAGCAGACGCUUUUUAUCCAAAGCAACUUACAUUACACUUUAAACUCAUGGCUUUUUCACAUUUUUGCCCGGGGAGCAAUUAGGGGGUUAGGUGUCUUGCUCAGGGACACUUGGACAUGGAACAUGGGGCAGCCUGGAAUCGAACCACCAACCUUGUGCUUCCCAGCACACCUUCUCUAACCCCUGCGCCACGACGACGGGAGAUGUUAUUUAGCAAUUUAUUCUUAAAUAUAGUUUGCUUAAUUGUUUGGGUAAUUGGAUCACUAAUGCUGUGGGCACCUGGAGGUUACGUAGCCAGGUGGGACCAGCAUGCACCUGGGUGACAAAUAGUUUUCACCAGUGAGUCAGAGCGACAGAGCGACAUGCACUGCAUGGGAAAGCAGACAAGUUGCGUAUGUGUUGUGGAUUCUGUGGAAUAAAGGCGAAACAAAGGAAAAGAUCGCCCGGACAAUCCGCUUUCUUACUGCGUGAAAGAAAACAAAAACUAGGUGCAGCAGUGGCUCUUUGAGAUGUAAAGAUUAGUUGGUAACAAGGACAAAUGGCCACUACAAGUACGCUAGUAUCAUAAUGUGUGACCCUGUAACUGAUCUAGAAGCAUGAAGAUAUGAAAAUAAUAAAAUGUAGGGUCUGGAAAACAGCUGUUGUUUUGUCCACUAAUAUUUUUGCAUGUCUAAUAUUUUGAGGAUAAACACAUUUUGCUUGUGUGAAAAACACUGUUGGUUAUUUAUAAGUAAGGUUGAUUUACUGGAGGUGUGUCGGAGAAGUUUUAUUCUUUGUCCUGUCAUUGUUCAAACAGCUUCAUCAAAUGUUCUUAUUUCACUGUAAGAAAACACAGUGGAAACAAAGAGGAACACAAAACAAACAACAAAAACAAAAAAGAAGAAU
ensembl:lncRNA